AAAGCUUGGAACGACGCAGAGUACUUCUACAAAGGCUUCAAGGUUUGGAUGACAGGACAGAGCGUGAGCUCUGCAGUUUUGCUAACCGAUGUUCUUCGUGGAGUUUUUUAGCUAAUGGAAGUACCUGAAGAGAGUGAAGACUAGAUUCAUUGAUCUUUAUUUGUCUUAAGAUUGCAAUAGGUUUUGGUUCUCCAUUUAAGUAAACUGCAAAUAAAAGAAAAACCAUAGUAGCAUUUUUAUGACCUUAAAGUUAAAGAGUCCAUGAGAUGAACAGAUUGCUGUUUUAUCAAACCAUAUUAUUCUGCAGAGUCUUGUCUAUAUCUAUAGUGAUUAGUGAAUCUUGCUGUCAAUGACUGUUAAACUUAG
rnacentral:lncRNA from 1 species